rnacentral:rRNA from 1 species
CCUACGGGAGGCUGCAGUGGGGAAUAUUGGACAAUGGGCGAAAGCCUGAUCCAGCCAUGCCGCGUGUGUGAAGAAGGCCUUCGGGUUGUAAAGCACUUUCAGUGGGGAAGAAAGCCUUGGGGCUAAUACCCUCGAGGAAGGACAUCACCCCCAGAAGAAGCACCGGCUAACUCCGUGCCAGCAGCCGCGGUAAUACGGAGGGUGCGAGCGUUAAUCGGAAUUACUGGGCGUAAAGCGCGCGUAGGCGGUCUGAUAAGCCGGUUGUGAAAGCCCCGGGCUCAACCUGGGAACGGCAUCCGGAACUGUCAGGCUAGAGUGCAGGAGAGGAAGGUAGAAUUCCCGGUGUAGCGGUGAAAUGCGUAGAGAUCGGGAGGAAUACCAGUGGCGAAGGCGGCCUUCUGGACUGACACUGACGCUGAGGUGCGAAAGCGUGGGUAGCAAACAGGAUUAGAUACCCGAGUAGUC